rnacentral:rRNA from 1 species
UAGGUGGCGAGCGUUGUCCGGAAUUACUGGGUGUAAAGGGAGCGUAGGCGGGAGUGCAAGUCAGAAGUGAAAACUAUGGGCUCAACCCAUAGCCUGCUUUUGAAACUGUACUUCUUGAGUGAGUCAGAGGCAAGCGGAAUUCCCAGUGUAGCGGUGAAAUGCGUAGAUAUUGGGAGGAACACCAGUGGCGAAGGCGGCUUGCUGGGGCUUUACUGACGCUGAGGCUCGAAAGCGUGGGGAGCAAU